CCAAAGGCUCUUUUAAGAGCCACCCACUUUCUCACAGAAUUGCUGUAACUUUAAAAUUAUGCGAGUAAUAAGAGUGCAACGUGCAACCAAAAUUGUGGUUCAAAUGAGGUCUCUGAUCUGCUAAGCUGUGAAGUACAAGUUGACCUUUGUGGAUGUGAGAUGUUCUAAAAGCUGAUUCGGGUGUAGCUGAGAGUAAAAUUUGAGGCAAGGCUCUCAGCUAAGAGGGUGGAAGGAGAUGGAGUCAUGGGAAGUCUGAGGAAGGAAACUAUUUGGAAAAGCAUCUAUGUGGCACAGUGGAUGGAGUGGCAGAUCAGGAGCUAAGAAGGCUAUUUUCUGAGUUCAAAUCAGGCCUUGGAUACACUCUACUCUCUUUGCCAAGAAAACCUCAAAAAAGGGUCAUAAAAAGUUAGCCAUGGUUGAAAAACAAUGAAAUAACAAAUAAAAAACUCUUUGUGCUUGUGUCA
rnacentral:lncRNA from 1 species